GUCCAGACUCCUACGGGAGGCAGCAGUGAGGAAUAUUGGUCAAUGGUCGGGAGACUGAACCAGCCAAGCCGCGUGAGGGAGGAAGGUACAGAGUAUCGUAAACCUCUUUUGUCAGGGAACAAAGGCGGGGACGUGUCCCCGGAUGAGUGUACCUGAAGAAAAAGCAUCGGCUAACUACGUGCCAGCAGCCGCGGUAAUACGUAGGGGGCGAGCGUUAUCCGGAAUUACUGGGUGUAAAGGGAGCGUAGACGGCGAGGUAAGCCUGAAGUGGAAGCCCGCGGCCCAACCGCGGAACUGCUUUGGGAACUGUUUGGCUGGAGUAUGGGAGGGGUAAGCGGAAUUCCUGGUGUAGCGGUGAAAUGCGUAGAUAUCAGGAGGAACACCGGUGGCGAAGGCGGCUUACUGGACCAUAACUGACGUUGAGGCUCGAAAGCGUGGGGAGCGAACAGGAUUAGAUACCCCCGUAA
rnacentral:rRNA from 1 species